UACGGAGGGAGCUAGCGUUAUUCGGAAUUACUGGGCGUAAAGCGUACGUAGGCGGCUUUGUAAGUUAGAGGUGAAAGCCUGGAGCUCAACUCCAGAACUGCCUUUAAAACUGCAUCGCUUGAAUCCAGGAGAGGUGAGUGGAAUUCCGAGUGUAGAGGUGAAAUUCGUAGAUAUUCGGAGGAACACCAGUGGCGAAGGCGGCUCACUGGUCCAGUACUGACGCUGAGGUGCGAAAGCGUGGGGAGCAAACAGG
rnacentral:rRNA from 1 species